GGGUGCGAUCAUACCAGCACUAAUGCACCGGAUCCCAUCAGAACUCCGAAGUUAAGCGUGCUUGGCGAGGGCGAGAGUAGUACUAGGAUGGGUGACCUCCUGGGAAGUCCUCGUGUUGCACCCC